CUAAAUACAUCCACAGAACCGAUAGUGAACAAGUACCGUAAGGGAAAGUUGAAAAGAACUCUGGAGAGAGAGUCAAAAGACCGUGAAACCGCUCAGAGUAUAAGCCGAUGGCGCUAGAAGGCAACCGGUGGCAAGGCGAUCUUGGCUUCGGCCGGGGUCGUCCGAAAUGCCUGAGAACUGGGUAGUUGGAGGAGUAGCAUUGAGUUGCUCAUCCAUCAGGCGAGCCUGUUCAUGGGCGAACACAAGUGGUGUCGUUCCGCUGGCGGGCUCGUUGCUGGACGAUUCUCUCGAGGCAUCACACGGUGAUUGCCCACCACAGCUCGUUGCUUGGUCACCCGCUGGGUCUAAGCGUGCAGAUGCUUCAUCCAGGGUCCGAGCUUUUUGAAGGUGCGUGAAUGGGCGGGCGUCUACCUACUGACUGCGGUGACGCCCGCUCGAGCCGUGCUCGCGCCAUCCUGGCUCUGACUGCCGACAAAGAUGUGGUGUGAUCCAUUCGGCGACGAUGCUGCAAUUGGCCAGACACGUACAGCCCCCAGCUCCGUCGCCAUGUGCCGGCGGCGGAGUACCUGCGGGCAGGCUGCUUGCGUCGCAUGCGAAGCAAACGCUCAGCCUGGGGGCUGGUCUGAUUGGUGAUGCUCUAGCGACCAUCGGUCACGUCUCGAAACACGGGCCAAGGAGUAUA
rnacentral:rRNA from 1 species